CCUACGGGUGGCAGCAGUAGGGAAUCUUCCACAAUGGGCGCAAGCCUGAUGGUGCAACACCGCGUGAGUGAAUAAGGGUUUCGGCUCGUAAAGCUCUGUUCUUGGAGGAGAACGUGCGUGAGAGUAACUGUUCACGCAGUGACGGUAUCAAACCUGAAAGUCACGGCUAACUACGUGCCAGCCGCCGCGGUAAUACGUCGGUGGCAAGCGUUAUCCGGAUUUUUUGGGCGUAAAGCGAGCGCAGGCGGUCGGUUAGGUCUGAUGGGAAAGCCUUCGGCUUAAACGCAGAAGUUCAGCGGAAACCGGGCGACUUGAGUGCAGAAGGGGACAGCGGAACUCCAUGUGUAGCGGUGGAAUGCGUAGAUAUAUGGAAGAACACCAGUGGCGAAGGCGGCUGUCUGGUCUGCAACUGACGCUGAGGCUCGAAAGCAUGGGUAGCGAACAGGAUUAGAUACCCCGGUAGUC
rnacentral:rRNA from 1 species